rnacentral:lncRNA from 1 species
AUGGCAUGGCAUUUAAGGCCCCUUAGGAAGUUGGUUCCAGCCACGCUGCUGUUCCUUCCUGCCUCCUGCUACGACCCACUUACUGAAACAGGCCAAACACGCCCCAGCUGGCCUGCACAUCGUUUCCUCUGCCCAGCGAGUCUCACUCUGUCACCUAGGCUGGAGUGCAGUGGCAUGAUCAUAGCUCACUGUAGCCUCAAACUCCUGGACUGAAGUGAUCCUUUUGCCUCAGCUUCCGAAAGUGCUGGGAUUUCAGGUAUGAGCCACUGCACCCAGCAGCGAUCACAUUUUUAAUUUGUAAGAGCUCUUUAUCAUCCUCUGAUUAUUUCUACUUCACGUCGUCCUGUUCUUUUUCAUAGAUACGUAUCUUUUUUUUAAAUCUCUGAGACUAUCAGUUAAAAAUACACAUAAAAAUUUUAAGUUUAUUUUUACAUCAUCUCUGUUUCCUUUGGCUCAUUUUUUUUGUUUGUUUGUUUUGGUCUCCCUCUUUCAUGUGGGAUACUUUUUGCAAAUUUCUGGUGAUCCUGGGUUAUCUAGUCAUAUCUAACAGUGAGGCAUCACAAUGUUUGGUGACUCUGUUAUGUGGGCAGAUAUUUGACUGGGAGUUCUCAAUCUCAGGCUAUUUCAUUAGGAAACCAUAGAAGUCUAUCCUUCAGAGGUCGGUAAAGGGUGGGUUUGAGACGUUUGGGUGGGGGCAUUUUGACAGCAUGGCUUCUCCUUUGGCAUGUUUAAUUGUGAUGUUUGACAGACAUCCUUGUAGUCAAAGAUGACACUUUUAAAAUACAUUAUCUCCUAAUGAUGGCUUGGGCCCUGUCACUCAAUGGGAGAAUCAGCAGAACCUAUAGGAUCUUAUGUGGAAUUGAUAUUCUCUGUUGUAAUUUUGUUCCUGUUUAUUUUAAAAUUUUCUUUGUGUUUCACCAGAAAAGAAAGAUGAUGCUCAGUUUUAAAUUUAACAGUGCACAAGUUGCUUUGUUACAAUAAAACCCAAUGUGUACUCACACACAAAAAGUCCAUCUUCAGGGGACUUUUCUCUGGAGCUGAUAAAUCUUUUUUCAGUGAAGAAUCCUCCAAUCUUCUAGCCAGGGGACAUAUACCUGACAGUCAUUUUCUGGGAAUGGGGUAAGGGAGGAAGCCUGGCAGUGGGCUCCACUAUGAACAGGAAGACUUAAACCUAAUCCUCCAUUAGGGCAGCCAGACACUGCCCUACUGUUGCUGGGAUCCCUGAACCUGAGGGUGCUCUGGUUCUAUUUCUCUAGAGAAAAAAACCUCCAGUCAAGUGCAAGGACAUAGUUGCCUGACUAUAUGGGAUUGGGAGGGGAUAUGGAGUUGUAAUUUCUUCAUAUAUUUCUUUCAACU